rnacentral:rRNA from 1 species
GCCAUGCAUGUCUAAGUAUAAGCAAUUAUACAGCGAAACUGCGAAUGGCUCAUUAAAUCAGUUAUCGUUUAUUUGAUAGUACCUUACUACAUGGAUAACCGUGGUAAUUCUAGAGCUAAUACAUGCUGAAAACCCCGACUUCGGAAGGGGUGUAUUUAUUAGAUUAAAAACCAAUGCCCUUCGGGGCUCACUGGUGAUUCAUGAUAACUUCUCGAAUCGCACGGCCUUGCGCCGGCGAUGGUUCAUUCAAAUUUCUGCCCUAUCAACUUUCGACGGCUGGGUCUUGGCCAGCCGUGGUGACAACGGGUAACGGAGGGUUAGGGCUCGACCCCGGAGAAAACGCCUGAGAAACGGCGUUUACAUCCAAGGAAGGCAGCAGGCGCGCAAAUUACCCAAUGCCGACGCGGCGAGGUAGUGACGAGAAAUACUGAUACAGGGCUCUUUUGGGUCUUGUAAUUGGAAUGAGUACAAUUUAAAUCUCUUAACGAGGAACAAUUGGAGGGCAAGUCUGGUGGACGUUCCAGUUCCGAUGCUGGUGCCAGAGAUAGCGGGUCAGCCCACGCUAGUCGAGCAUCCGCCAACCAGCGGGAGGAUGCCGGCGAGACAACCUGGAUCGGGGGACGCUAAGGUGCCCAAGGGCGCUAUGCCAAUCCCGAGCGGAGUCCCUAGCGGACCCGUGUAGAGCGCGCAAAGGUGUCGGUUCGGCUCUGUAGGGCCGGGCUUAAGGUACGUGCCGAUCCCCCGCGAAAGCGGGGCCGCGUCCAAGAGUGCCCGCUGCACGAAUGGACGUGGGUCAAAUCAGUGGGGCUUCAGCUGUCAGCCCACCGAAGCCCGAUUUGACAACGAAGGAAAAAAAAUGGCCAGCAGCCGCGGUAAUU